rnacentral:rRNA from 1 species
UACGUAGGGUGCAGGCGUUAAUCGGAAUUACUGGGCGUAAAGCGUGCGCAGGCGGUUUCUUAAGUCAGAUGUGAAAGCCCCGGGCUUAACCUGGGAACUGCGUUUGAAACUGGGAGACUAGAGUGUGGCAGAGGGGAGUGGAAUUCCACGUGUAGCAGUGAAAUGCGUAGAUAUGUGGAGGAACACCGAUGGCGAAGGCAGCCCCCUGGGUUAACACUGACGCUCAUGCACGAAAGCGUGGGGAGCAAACAGG